CGAAGCAUACAUAUAUUUGUAUCGUUGUGCGAACAGGAAUACAUUGUUCCGAAUAUGAAGGAAUUAACUAAUUCUACGUGCUCGACAAUGCAUAAAGCAAUGUUUUUAAAAGAAUGAAAUCAAUAUGAAAAUUGUCGGGAAGAAAAGAAACGUUUUUUUGAGAAGGGAACGAAUGCCCAGCACCUUCAAUUUUUCGACACGUAACAGAUAAGAUAGAGACAGAGAGAAAGAAAGAGAGGAAAAGGAACAGGAAGAAAAAAAAAAGGAUUAGGAUCGAUCUUCUGUUAAAUUGACGGCACAGGAUAUUCUCUAUCAGUGACGAGAAUAGAAUAGUCGAUUUUAAACGAAGUUUCGAAACCUUUUCUUCGCACGAACUGAAUUCGAAAAUGGGAUGUUUUCAGAAGCAAAAGUUUCAGGAGCAAGCUAGACAUAUAAUUAGAGUGGAGGUAUCUCGUGAGAAAAUGCUUCGCCAUAUAAUGACUUCGGGUCACGAAACCGAAGGAAGUUCUUCACUUUGGGCUUUGUAGUCUUGUUUAUACGUAAGACGACUAUCAGUCGAUUUUAUUUCUGCCAGUUACCAAUCUACAAACUAUCCAAAUCAUAACGGAGAUAUACAAGAAAAAGAAAAAAUAUCUGAAUAAGGCGUCGAAGUUAACAGAUGAAUGAACAAUUAUGUUUGAUCUUUACGCGAAUAAAUAAUCAUUUACAUUUGAAUCGUUGUUUGUGCAAAAAUUAAAAGAAAAUACAAGUUUUUAUGUGUUCGAUGAAACAUACAGGAUGAAUUAA